rnacentral:lncRNA from 1 species
AUCAUCACUACGAAAAUAGCAAUGAAAACUAUUAUCAAGAGGGGAGAAAUAUAUCAAAGGAAUAUUGAAACUCAUAAGUCGAAAAACAAACUGACAAUGACAAGACAACAACACAAAUUGAUCAGGUAAACAACAUUAUACACUACUGUAGUUAGAAAACUUCAGACUGAACAACAUUAACCCCACCAAAAACCAGGGGUGAUCUCAGGAGCUCAGUAAAUGUAAGCAGCUAAUGAAAAUUGCAAACAUAACUGAUUCGAGUACAGGUAAUAUAAAUAUCAGGUUAACUACGUUUUAGUUCACUUAGAC